UAUACUGUGUACCAUUACCUUAAAAUAGUUACUCAGAGUAAAAAACAUAAACCUGAAUGAUUUUGACCAAAAAAAAAAAAACCCACAUAACACUAAUCUUUUUAAAAAAUUCUUUUUCUUUUCUUUUCUUUCUUUUUUUGGAGCCAAGGCCUCACAGUGUAGUUCAGGCUGGUCUUAAACUCAGUCUGUAAUCCCAUCUGGCCUUGAACUCAUGGUGAUUCUUCUGCUUCAGCCUUUUGAGUGCUACUAGGAUUACAAGUUUAUGCCACCAUGUCCAGCAGAAGGCCAUCUUUUUGAUAACUUUGGCUUCUCAGAUUUAACCUGACAUAAUAAAGAUUAAAAGAGCCAAAUGAAGGCUAGAGGUUUAGCUCAGUGGCACAAGCACCUGGCUGGCAAGUGUAAGGUCAUGAGUUUGAUGCCUGGUACCACCACCACCACCAACAACAACAACAACGACAAAAAAAAAAAACAACAAAAAACCCCAAAUGUGUCCAAGCAUGAUGGUGAAUGUUUGUAAUCCCGGCUCUUGGGAGGCUGAGGGAGGAGGAUCGCUGAGCGUUUAAGGCCAGCCUGGGUUACAUAGCAAGAGCCUGUCCCAAAAUAACAAAGCAAACAGAUGUGGACACAGCCUAUGAGGUUGGCUAUUCCGAAGGCUGAAGCAGGAGAUCACAAGUUUGAGCCCAGCCUGGGCAACUUAGUGAUUUAGUGAGACCCUGUCUUGCAAUAAAAAAAUGAAAAAAGGGCUAAGGAUAUAGCUGAACAUGAAGACCAUAGAUUCAAUCUCUAGUACUACAGACAAAAACAAAAUCCCAAGUAUGAAAAAAACAACAAAAACCAAAAAACCCAACCAGUUGCCAAAGCAAUUAAGUGAUAAUUCUUGACUAUAGGAAAAAAUGAAUCACUGGAUCUAACGUGUGAAAUUUUUUCUUUUCGUGUAUGUUUGAUAUCAGGUGGUUAGCAGCUUGGCAGAGAAAGCCACUAGGCAGCAUUACCCAAAGGGAAAAUGAAAGUUUACAACUAAAGGUCAGUCUGAAAGAUAAGACAGACCAUCCUGAACCAGCAGUAUGAAGCAUUGUGAAACUGUAUUUGAUAUUCAUAAGAUAAUGUGUCGAUGCUGGAAGAUCCUGAACUGAAGAAAACAAUCUCUGUCUUCAAUCUUCAUGGGGAGUAAUCUGUAAUGAGAGCUAUGCAUGGUAACAAGACUUAGAGUCAAGUUCAGUCCAGACAAAAGAUAAGCUAGAGUCCCUUGACUCUAGCUGGGAUCUCAUUAAAUGAAUAAUGAGAGAGGAGGAGGGAGUUCUAAGGAUUGUUUGAAUGUUUGGGGGCAAGAGAAGAAGUCUAAGAGCCUUGGUCAGUUGGAAGUAGCCCAUAACUUAAUGUUUACCUGGUGCUCAUUAACUAUUUAUUGGAUUAAAGUUAAUUUCAUUCUCGA